GUUGCUGGGGCUUGCGUGGGAGGAAGGUGACUGUGAGGAAGGUGUGUGUCCACCGAGCACUUGGAUUCAGCUUCUUCAUUUCCAACAUGGAAGAAACUUACACCGACUCCCUGGACCCUGAGAAGCUAUUGCAAUGCCCCUAUGACAAAAACCAUCAAAUCAGGGCUUGCAGGUUUCCUUAUCAUCUUAUCAAGUGCAGAAAGGUAGGGUCAUAAUUUGCCCUCUAACACCCUCCUGAGUUCUUUUAAAAGGCCAUAUUUUAUAAAUAUCAAAUAAUUUUAUCAUGUUUUAAUUGAUUGCCAGAAUUGUUUUGGGAAUCUACCUCUCUUAAAUACCAACAUUUAUAGAAAGGCAUUUGUUCAUUCCUUAGGAUAAAUUUUUUCUUGUUUUGGUUUUCUUCCCAUUAACUAGUGACAAAGAACCCUUUAUAAACAGCAUCUCUAGAGUCUUCUCACCCUUUGUAAAACAGACUAAUUUUGGCUAACAAUGAGAAAUCCUGCCUAUCUUCUAAAUUUGAUGUAUUCAUGAGCCUAACAAUGAUUGAGUGCUAUAACUCACUUUUUCUGA
rnacentral:lncRNA from 1 species